rnacentral:rRNA from 1 species
UGUCUCAUGAAACAUAAAAUAUGAGAUAAUACCUGCCCAGUGACAUACUGUUCAACGGCCGCGGUAUCCUAACCGUGCAAAGGUAGCAUAAUCAUUUGCCUAUUAAUUGUAGGCUAGAAUGAAAGGGUUAACGAAAUAAAGACUGUCUCAAUUAAUUACCUAAAAAUUAAUAUUUACCUGAAGAAGUGUAAAUAACCUCGAAGGACAAGAAGACCCUAUAGAGCUUAAUCUUAACUAUGGGAUUUCCCCCUAUAAAAAUAUUCGGUUGGGGCGACCCAGGGCCAAACAAUCACCCAAAAUAUAAAAGACACAUUAAUCAAUAUAAUUGACCCUCCUAAAGAGAUCAAAAGACCAAGCUACCUUAGGGAUAACAGGCUAAUCCCAUUAAAGAGUCCAUAUCAACAGUGGGGUUUGGCACCUCGAUGUUGGCUUAGGGUAUCUAUAUAGCGCAAAAGUUAUAUAAAGAUGGUUUGUUCAACCAAUAAUUCCCU